AUGCUUAGGCACCAUCUUUUCAGGGAAAACAUGGGAAAAGUCUCAAAUACUUCCUGGGGGUAAAUUUGGAAAGUAAUACUGAGUAGAGCCAACCUAAGAAGAGCAGACAAGCAGCAGCAAAGCCCUCAGCAUUUGUUCCCAAGUUCAGGAAAACCCUAAGGAUUAACUUACCAGAGGUAAGAAGAAACAUAUGGUCCACUGAAUGAGGAAAGAUGGAACAUUUGAUCAAAUAAGCAGAAGCCAAUUGAAGCAAGACUCAGGUGAAGUUAAGUAUACAUGGACAUGCGUGAAUACUGAAGAUAACCAAAGUUCUAGGAAGAUGACUAUGAGGGAUUAUAUUCUACAUUCUGCCAUUUGGUAUGUGGGUAACAGCCCACCUGGGUCACAAGUUGGAACACCAAAACAAACCCAGCUGUCCCUGACGCUAGGCCUGAACCACAGGCGUUUGGCAGGAGAGCCAGAGAGACCGCAAGAGGAGCCGCUCAGAUCUUGUUCCUCCAGAUUCCUGCUAAGCUCCACUCGGGAGGCAAGGAGGCCUUGUUCCUCUGAGGCCCAGCCUCCCCCUUGUCAAAAUCAACUGGGAUGGCAGCUCAAGGGCAAGAAGCCGGCCCUCCUGAGGGGACUCACAGGAGGCAGAUCCCCGUGCUGCACUUCUGGACCUCUGAGGCAAAAAAUAAGACACUACUGAAGACUUUCAAGCAUGGAAAAGCCACUGUCAGAUCUGUGCUGGGGGAAAGACAGGAAAUCAAUGCUGCUACAGGAGAAGAGUAAGAGCCCGGGAGCUCCGCCAUCUUCUUCAAUACCUCAGGGGCUUUGGGGCCAGGAUCCACCCUCCGUCUGGCUGACCUCCUGAACCUGAACUUCAUCCCUGGCCCAUUUCUUCACCAUUUGGCGCAACUCAGCAUGAGGAGCACAUGAGUGAGAGCCAGGAGCCUCCUUGGGGAAACAAGCCCUAUCCAGCCGUUGCUCAAGAUGGACUCCUGCCCCCACAGGGCCGCAGCCCUGGCCUCUGAAGGGAGUGGGAGAUGAACCUGCCUCAGUGCGGCUCAGAAAACACAGCCUGACUUGGCAGCACUUGAGAGAGAGUAUUUUGGAAACUUCAUACCAGAUUUUGUUUUGUUUUGUUCACAGGUCCUUAAAGUAAGCUACAGAAAUCACCUCGGAGGGCUUGGUUUCCAGCUCCCACAGGCUGCCAAGAGCUUCUCCUGGCCCAUUUCCCUGACCAGCACCAUCCCCACCCCCAACCAGGGCAAUUGCUUUCUUUCCAAAUUUGCAUCUCAACAGAGGAUGGCCCCUGUUGCCCCAGGUACCUCUGGGCAAAGAGCAAGGUGGCCAGAGGCUGCAGAUAACCACCACCCCCACACAGUACCUGUGACUCGCUCAGUGACUCCCACUCACUGGCACCAAUAUCCUUUCACCCUACAGUAUUAAGACAACCUCACAGUCUGUCAUGAAUUAAUUUCAUGAUCCUGGAAAAAAGAUCCUUCAACCCUUUGGGUCUCAGUUUUCUCACCAAUAAAAAUGGGUCUUCUCUGCCUA